GCCUUCACCUCUUGAGCUCAAGUUAUCCUCCUGCCUCAGCCUCCCAAAGUGUUGGGAUUACAGGCGGGAGCCGCCAUGCCCCAGCCUAUUGAUAUUCUUGUUGAGGUUCUCAGACAUAUCUGCAUGGCCUCACACAUGGAGGAAAGAGACCCACAGAGGCAAAAACAAGACAUGGGGUAAAAAUAGACUGGAAGGAAACACACCGAAUGAUAGUGGUUUUUUCUGGGUGUUGAGAUUACCGAGCUUAUUUUUAAAUUUCUUAGAUCCUUCAGGUGUUCUACAACGUAAAAUGCAGACAGGGUGGGGACGUUGGUUGGAGUCAUGUUUUCCCUAAUGUUCUUACUGGUUCUAAAAUCUUCAAGCUAUGCUCUCACCCAAGGCUUCACUUAUUAUUAUUUUAACACUGUGGAUUCAUAAAGAAUGGAAGCCCACACAAGUCCAGGGAAGGAAGGAAAGGCAGACAGAGGCUUAUUUUCAGGCCUGGGCAGUUGCACAGGGUCCCUUGCUUAGAAGGGCCUCAUGCUUGGUUUCGUGUUCUGUGGUCGCUGUCCUGAAAUUCUUACUGAUUUUUGAACAAGGGAUCCUGUAUUUUCAUUUUGCACUGUGCCCUGAAAAUCAUGCCGCCGUCACUAGCCCUGGGAUUCUCCCCAGGACAGGUUUCCCUUCAGCUGCUCUAAGCCUUCGCCCUUGUCCUUGUCCAACCACGGACGUGGCCAUCCACGGAGCCCUCUACGUGCCUCAGAGCAAGUGUGCUUCGGCUGCUCAGGUGUGUGUCUAGAGACUGAUAAAAACAGGGCUCGUGAGUGGGUGCGGGAGGCCCCUGUGGUCUCUGUUCACACACGUACCUACCCUCAAGGCCAUGUCUACACUGGCCUAUUUCAGAGAACCGCCCUGUGCAUCAUGGGAUGCUUUGCCCCACAUCACGGCCCAGCUUGGUUCAGUCCUGGAGCCCUGUGUCCUGAAGCCAUGACCAACCCCAGGCCUGGCCCACCUUCUUCCUCAGUCUCCUCUCCCUCAAGCCCUCCACAGGACCCAUAAACCUUCCAUCUCCAUGUAAUCCUUUUGUGUGAUCCUUCUUCCAUACCUUUGCCCAUGCUGUUCACUCUGCUUGUACCAGCAAGGUUCCUUCCUCCCCAGAUCUGCCCUUUCUAGACCCAUCUCAGAUUCCACCCUUUCUAGAAAGACUUCAGGAAGUAUUUGAGAAGGGCCUGAAGAUGCUGUGGUUGCAUAGAGGAGGAUAUGAAUCACCUCGCUUAGAGGUAUCGGGGAGGGCUCCAUGGAGGUGGUGCCCUCAGGCCAAGGAAGAGAAGAUAUCUUCCGGGCAGAAGGGAGAGUUUGACGGGCUGGUUUGAUGUCAGACAGACCACAGGAUGACUCAAGGUCCUCUUUCCUCUUCUUAAACAUUAGUUGCAGCAAGUCCCACCAUCUGCCUGAGUCUGUUUUCAUCUCCACAAUGGAGGUGGUGAUGCCCAGCACACGGAGCUGUGAUGAGGAUUUAAUGGGGAAUCCAGAGCAUUUAUGGAAGUGCCAGGAGGCCAAGAUUCUGCAUAGGGACUGCAUGUGCUGGUGGAAUCUCAGUCACCAUGUCCCACGUUGAAGGAUGUUUGGAGGGGGCUGACUUUGGUCACCCUUCAAAUCAUAAGUUAUAUGCGUCUGCCCUUUCCGCCCACACGUAAGUCUGAACCUUUUGCCAAAAACACUUUUCCCAGACUCGAAAGAAAACCCCAAAGAGGAACCUAAACCUUCACGCUGCCUGCACCGAUUGGACCGGAGUGCUCAGGCUCGCGCCAACAAGUGUUUCAAAGAAGAAGCCAGACAGUGAAGGGGGAAGUGAGGGAGAAGCUGGAAAACUCUCAGGCUGACCAAUCGUCAGCCCAUUCAUUCGUUCAUCCAUCCAUCCAUCCAUCCAUCCAUCCAUCCAUCCAUCCAUCCAUUCUUUCUUUCUUUCCUCUAUCCAUUCAGUGAGAAGGGCUGAAUAUCACCUGUGAGCCUGCCCCUGCUCCCAAGAACACCCUUUGGACACCUGUGGGCUCUGCAAGGUUGGUGUAACCCCUACAGAUGAGGAAACCAGAGACAGAGAAGUGAAGUAACUCAUGCAGGUGACGGCAGAGGGCAGAGUCAGGACUUGAACCUGGAGAGCCUGGCUCUAAAGCCCAAGCUGGAAUCUCGAUACUCUACACCUCGAUAAGUUUUUGGGAAAUGACUGACUAAACAGAUGAACGCGUUUGCCCCCCCGCCGCCCCAGAGCCCCCUUAAAGCCUACAUGUGGCAGUUUGGGCCCAUUUCCUUGGCUUCCCUCCCUGGAGGGGCACCCACUGCCAGUGUCCCUGGUGAGUGUUUGCCUGUGGGGGUACAAGUGAGGGUUCAGCAAAGGUGACCUGGUGUGAGGGGGGGGUGCCCCAGGGGGUGCAGAGGAGGGCCUCAUGAGGCAGAUUCAGAAUGAAGGUUCUGGCCCCCAGUGGAACCGUGCAUGGGCAAGGGGUCCUCAGGGCCAUUGGCCCAUAAUUGUCAGACGGGGAAACUGAGGCCCAGAGAGAGGAAGGGACUUGUCCUUAGUUACACAGAGUGUCUGGAUCACAGCUCUUAGGUCUCAGCUUCCCCAUUUGUCACACAGGGAGAAUAAAUCCCCCUUGUCCUGCCUGGGGGUAGACCCCAGGGGGCCCCUGUGCCCUCUCACACCUUCCAUUCCAGCUUCUAGAAUUCCACCAUCCAUGCACCAGCCCUGAGGGUAGGCGUUGCCCUCUUCUCACCUCCUGCUCACGCCUCUACUGCAGGAUGGGAACCAAAUGCCUCUCCACCCUUUUCCCACACCCCUUCUCUCCACAGUGAACUGAGGGGAGUUUCUGAUCCCUUAGCUCAAAGUCAGAGAAACUGAGAGGGGAGGGCUGGGUGGGAGCCGUGGGAAUGUCAUGCACAAGCAGUCGGACUCUCCAGGGGUCUGGAUCUCUCCCUUGCUGCCUUGAAGGCCCCUGCACAGGCUGUGGCACUGGCUGAGUACAGGUGCCUGAAGGCAGAGGCAUGGAUGGGAUGCUUCAUUCUCAGCCUGUUUUUGCCAGUGAAGACAAAAGGGAAGUCAUCUUCCGUUGGUCUAUGGGGACCCUGAGGUAGUAGGAGCUCGGUGAUAAUUCUAGGGACCACCCUGGGUUGUCAGGUGGGGGAGACAGAGAAGCCCACAUAGGAGGCACCAAAUGCAACUCACUCGUGCCCUUUUACUCAUGAGAGAACACGGAUCCAGAGAUGUCAAGUGACUCAGACACAGUCUCACAGCACACAGGCGGCAGAGGCAGGUAGGGGACUGGGCUUCCCUGGCAGCAGUCCCCAAGCCUGCCUGAGAGGCACAUCAGAAUCGCUUUAGGGGAUUUGCAAAACCACACCUGCCCAGGCCCAAACCCUAGAGAUUCUGAUUCCGCAGUCUGAGGUAGGAAUGGAGAAUCCUCCACAGCCUGAGGUAGGAACUGGGAAUCCAGUGUUUAAAACUCUCUAGGGGCGGUGAUUUCAGAAAACCUGCUGGCUCCAUCACACUUUGCUCAGGGACUGAGAUGGGAUGGCAUUUGGAAGACACAGCUGAAAUUUAGCAUCAUAUUCCAUGGCGAUUUUCCACCAGUGGAAAUCACAGGUGUUCUCUGGUAUCACAGCGGGGUCAGGGAUGACCUGAAAUAUUGUUCAUGCUCAUCACAACUGCAUGGCCCACCGCGGGGUCUUGUCACUCAGUGAGUUCUUGAAGAGGCACAGACAAAUGGAGUUCAACAAAUGGAAAACAACUGCCUUUAAUUAGCUCCGAGGACUACAAAGGGAACAACGUUAUAAUAGCAGCAACUCCAAGGAAGCAGCCACAGCUCUCAGCUCUCAGACCUGGGGCUGCCGCUCAUCAUCAGCUACAGCUAGGUUUGAUGGGAGUGCCCCCAUUUCAGGGGACAGCAGGCCCCCUUCACUCCCCGACUCAGUCCCCAUCUGCAGCAGCACAGCCUUCCUUGGCCUCACCAGGGAAGAAGAACAGGCCCCGCUCUCAGACAAGCCUUCCCAGAAGCCUGAGGACUCAAACACCCAAAUGUGUCUGGGUCCCUGCCCCGAGCCGGCCACCCAGGCAGCAGCCCUGAAUCACUCGGUCAGCCAGCGGCAGGGCAGGCCAAUGGGCUGGAGGGUAGGCAGGCAGGCAGACCCACCUCUGCAUCUCUGCUGACUGCCUCGGCUGAGGAAAGGCAGCACCAGCCCCCAACCCUGAAGUUCUAGAUCUCAUGCAGCCUCUCUGUUCUGGAACCAUCCAGAGGCACUGCCCUUAUACAUGGUCCACCCCCAGGCUCAGACAAUGAGAAUUCCACAAGCAGAGGGGACUCUAUUUGGGGCACAGAGAGGUUAAGUAACUCCCCUCCUAAGGUCUCUCAGCAAGGAAGCCACUGAGCCGUGGGACUUGAGCUCAGGGACUCUUGAUCCCCAGUCUCAGGUGUCACAGCCCCAUCUGGGCUCCUGCUAGGGAGGAGGAAGGCAGCAGGGGGUGUCUGAGGCCAGGGUGCAUCAGCCCUAAAUGCCAGACAGAGGCAGGAGAAGUCUCCCCAUGAGUCCCAGCCCCAUUAGAGGCUCCAGGUCGGGGAUCCCAGACCCCCUAUCCUUGCUGGGAGACACAACCCAGAACUCUGCAUCCCUGCAGCCACCAAAAAAGGCAAAAGCUGCCCAGAAACACUUUCUCCUCUUCCGUGGCCAAAUCCACGAACUUUCUCGAGGUCUGUCCCCCUGCCCCGUGCAGGUCCAGCUUCAGUGCAGCCCAGCUCUGUGCAGUUUUCCACAAAAGCCUGUGGCUUCCUUCUCCUCCCUCUGCUUCUGAUACCCCAGGAGUUACACACAAAAUGUUGGCGGUGGUCUCCAGGAAGACCCCUGCAUCCCACAGCUCUCCCCAGAAGUUGCCAGCAGUGACCUCCUGAGCCCAGGUGGGGAGUCCCAGGCAGGACAGGGGCUGGGGCUGCAGGCCCUGGGGCCCUGUUAGUGAAGCAGCAAGCCGAGGGUCCCUGAGAGUUUCCCUUGGCCCCUCUGAGGGCUGCCCUUUGAGGUCUUGAGGUCUUGGAGUAUCCAUCGCCCCCACGGCUUACUGUCCCCACCAGCGGAGGAUGAAAGUGCCACAGCGAUGUUCCACGCCAAGAGACCACAGAGACCACCAACCCCUCUUCCCACCUCAGGCUUUCAGAGGCCAGCGGAUUUAGGCGGACAGGCUGUGCGCUUGAGGGCAGCCAGGGCGGUCAGUGGAGGGACGUGGUCCGGGGCCUGGCCACAGCUCCCCACCCAGGGCCCUGGGCUAUUGUUACUCACCGCGGAUGAAGGUCGGCGAGUAGGUCGGGAAGGAGUCGAAGAUGCUGUUCGAUGCCAUGCCCCGCUCUGAAGAAGGCGAGAAUUUUCAGCCCUUCAGGGGGUUGGGUUGGGAUUCACUUGGUUGGCUGUUGUUUUAUUUUUUUUUCCUCUAGCUACUUUUGAAAAUAAAAGGGGGGGGUGUUGCUUUUUGUUGUUU
rnacentral:lncRNA from 1 species